CGCGAGACUAUUAAUUAGCCAAUUGCGAUUGAGUAUUGGGGUCACGUGUACCGCUGCAGUGUUACCUGCUAGGUAUAUUAGCUGGAGCGGGGAGGCAUGAAGGUUAGAACACGUUGGCAGGAGCAGAGCUGCAGGAGCCAACUGGUGUGAGCCAGAAGGGAGAUG